UGCAAGUCGAACGGAUAGGCCUCAGCUUGCUGGGGUACUCGAGUGGCGAACGGGUGARUAACACGUGGGUGAUCUGCCUCGUACUCUGGGAUAAGCCUYGGGAAACYGGGUCUAAUACUGGAUAGGACCAUGCUUUAGUGUGUGUGGUGGAAWGUUUUUUCGGUACGAGAUGAGCCCGCGGCCUAUCAGCUUGUUGGUGGGGUAAUGGCCUACCAAGGCGUCGACGGGUAGCCGGCCUGAGAGGGUGGACGGCCACAUUGGGACUGAGAUACGGCCCAGACUCCUACGGGAGGCAGCAGUGGGGAAUAUUGCACAAUGGGCGCAAGCCUGAUGCAGCGACGCCGCGUGGGGGAUGACGGCCUUCGGGUUGUAAACCUCUUUCGCUAGGGACGAAGCUUUUGUGACGGUACYUAKAUAAGAAGCACCGGCUAACUACGUGCCAGCAGCCGCGGUAAUACGUAGGGUGCGAGCGUUGUCCGGAAUUACUGGGCGUAAAGAGCUCGUAGGUGGUUUGUCGCGUCGUCUGUGAAAUUCCGGGGCUUAACUUCGGGCGUGCAGGCGAUACGGGCAUAACUUGAGUGCUGUAGGGGAGACUGGAAUUCCUGGUGUAGCGGUGGAAUGCGCAGAUAUCAGAGGAACACCGAUGGCGAAAGGCAGGUCUCUGGGCAGUAACUGACGCUGAGGAGCGAAAGCAUGGGGAGCGAACAGGAUUAGAUACCCUGGUAGUCCAUGCCGUAAACGGUGGGCGCUAGGUGUAGGGGUCUUUCCACGACUUCUGUGCCGUAGCUAACGCAUUAAGCGCCCCGCCUGGGGAGUACGGCCGCAAGGCUAAAACUCAAAGGAAUUGACGGGGGCCCGCACAAGCGGCGGAGCAUGUGGAUUAAUUCGAUGCAACGCGAAGAACCUUACCUGGGCUUGACAUAUGCAGGAUCGGCGUAGAGAUACGUUUUCCCUUGUGGUCUGUAUACAGGUGGUGCAURRUWGUCGUCAGCUCGUGUCGUGAGAUGUUGGGUUAAGUCCCGCAACGAGCGCAACCCUUGUCUUAUGUUGCCAGCACGUUAUGGUGGGGACUCAUGAGAGACUGCCGGGGUUAACUCGGAGGAAGGUGGGGAUGACGUCAAAUCAUCAUGCCCCUUAUGUCCAGGGCUUCACACAUGCUACAAUGGUCGGUACAACGCGCUGCGAGCCUGUGAGGGUGAGCGAAUCGCUGAAAGCCGGCCUCAGUUCGGAUUGGGGUCUGCAACUCGACCCCAUGAAGUCGGAGUCGCUAGUAAUCGCAGAUCAGCAACGCUGCGGUGAAUACGUUCCCGGGCCUUGUACACACCGCCCGUCACGUCAUGAAAGUUGGUAACACCCGAAGCCAGUGGCCUAA
rnacentral:rRNA from 1 species